rnacentral:misc_RNA from 1 species
UCCAAAUGCAGCCUGGAAUGUGCCUUUACAAGCUUGCAUGCAUAAAGCUCCUGUUGCCACAUCGGAACGUGGAUCUCAAUGGCCAGAACCAUGGCCAGCCAGGUUAUCGAAAUCACCUUACUGGUUAUUGAGUUCCCAGGUUGGAGUAUAUGGGAAACCAGCCCCGGAAGAUUUUACUGCAGAUUAUGAACACUGGAAACAUGUGGUGACAAAUUCAUAUCUUAAUGGAAUGGGGAUAAAUUGGUCUACUGUGCGGAAUGUUAUGGACAUGCGUGCUAUCUAUGGAGGAUUUGCAGCUGCUUUAAGAGACUUGAAUGUGUGGGUUAUGAACGUUGUCUCAGUAGAUGCUCCAGAUACACUACCAAUUAUUUAUGAAAGAGGUCUUUUUGGAAUUUAUCAUGACUGGUGUGAAUCCUUCAGCACUUACCCCAGAUCGUACGAUCUUGUCCAUGCAGACCAUCUCUUCUCCAAGAUUAAAACAAAGUGUGGUUUACCGGCAAUAGUUGCUGAAGUUGACCGCAUUUUGAGACCAGGAGGGAAGCUCAUUGUGCGUGACAAAGAGGAGACUAUAACUGAGUUAGAAAGUAUGCUCAAGUCUAUGCAAUAUGAAAUCAAUAUGACCUAUUCCAAGGACAAGGAAGGAUUGUUGUAUUGCCAGAAAACAAUGUGGCGACCAAAGGACGUUGAGACACUAACUUAUGCCAUUGCUUAGCUGCCUUGCAUGUGAAGGAUGCUGGUUGUGUUCCGUUCAAGAGGCUUUCAUGCCACGGUGACUAGAUAAUUUUCUGAUUAAAUUCUUGUAACUUUAUUCUUGUCAGGCUAUCGCGUACCAUUUCCUUAGCAAAUUAGUAGUAUCAUCAUUAAAUAUUUGUGGAUAGUAAAUGCCUUGAGGUUCUGUAUUUUGUAAUAUGGAGGAGGUGAACGAUGGUAAAUCUCAAAAGCACCACAAUCAUAUUCGUUUUCACAUUGAAUUGGGCAACAGGCCAAUACUCCCUAUACUUUGUAUUGUUGAGGAAUAUCUGCUUUAUUAGUCUUCAAAAUUGCACUUUCUAGUGUCUCUACUCUUUCAAAUAAUUACAAAACAUAGAAAUAUUG